rnacentral:rRNA from 1 species
GAUGAACGCUGGCGGCGUGCCUAAUACAUGCAAGUCGAGCGAACAGACGAGGAGCUUGCUCCUCUGACGUUAGCGGUGGACGGGUGAGUAACACGUGAAUAACCUACCUAUAAGACUGGGAUAACUUCGGGAAACCGGAGCUAAUACCGGAUAACAUGUUGAACCGCAUGGUUCAACAGUGAAAGACGGUCUUGCUGUCACUUAUAGAUGGAUCCGCGCCGCAUUAGCUAGUUGGUAAGGUACCGGCUUACCAAGGCAACGAUGCGUAGCCGACCUGAGAGGGGGGUCGGCCACACUGGAACUGAGACACGGUCCAGACUCCUACGGGAGGCAGCAGUAGGGAAUCUUCCGCAAUGGGCGAAAGCCUGACGGAGCAACGCCGCGUGAGUGAAGAAGGUCUUCGGAUCGUAAAACUCUGUUAUUAGGGAAGAACAAAUGUGUAAGUAACUAUGCACGUCUUGACGGUACCUAAUCAGAAAGCCACGGCUAACUACGUGCCAGCCGCCGCAGUAA